UGUCCCCAGUGACUGACUUCAGGG
rnacentral:piRNA from 1 species